rnacentral:rRNA from 1 species
AUUGAACGCUGGCGGCAGGCUUAACACAUGCAAGUCGAGCGGAGCGGCGGACGGGUGAGUAAUGCCUAGGAAUCUGCCUGGUAGUGGGGGAUACCGUCCGGAAACGGGCGCUAAUACCGCAUACUAUCAGAUGAGUCUAGGUCGGAUUAGCUUGUUGGUGGGGUAAAGGACUACAAGGUCGACGAUCCGUAGCUGGUCUGAGAGUAUGAUCAGUCACACUGGAACUGAGACACGGUCUAGAAUCUGACGGGAGGCAGCAGUAGGGAAGAGUGGACAAUGGGCGAACGCCUGAGCCAGCCAUGCCGCUGGUGUGGAGAAGGUCUGCGGGUUGGAAACGACUGUAAGGGGGGAGGCGUUAGCAACAGAAAAAGCACCGGCUAAUGCCGUGCCAGCAGCCGCGGUAAUAC